rnacentral:rRNA from 1 species
UACGUAGGGUGCAAGCGUUAAUCGGAAUUACUGGGCGUAAAGAGCGCGCAGGCGGUCGUUCAAGUCGCGUGUGAAAGCCCCCGGCUCAACUGGGGAGGGUCACGCGAUACUGAUCGACUCGAAGGCAGGAGAGGGAAGUGGAAUUCCCGGUGUAGUGGUGAAAUGCGUAGAUAUUAGGAAGAACACCGGUGGCGAAGGCGGCCCACUGGAUCGGUACUGACGCUGAGGUGCGAAAGCGUGGGGAGCAAACAGG